rnacentral:rRNA from 1 species
AACGAACGCUGGCGGCAGGCCUAACACAUGCAAGUCGAACGCUGUAGCAAUACAGAGUGGCAGACGGGUGAGUAACGCGUGGGAACCUUCCCAGUGGUGCGGAAUAGCUCAGGGAAACUUGAGGUAAUGCCGCAUAAGCCCCUAGGGGGAAAGAUUUAUCGCCAUUGGAUGGGCCCGCGUCGGAUUAGCUAGUUGGUGAGGUAAUGGCUCACCAAGGCAACGAUCCGUAGCUGGUUUGAGAGAAUGACCAGCCACACUGGGACUGAGACACGGCCCAGACUCCUACGGGAGGCAGCAGUGGGGAAUCUUGGACAAUGGGCGCAAGCCUGAUCCAGCCAUGCCGCGUGAGUGACGAAGGCCUUAGGGUUGUAAAGCUCUUUUGCCGGGGACGAUAAUGACGGUACCCGGAGAAUAAGUCCCGGCUAACUUCGUGCCAGCAGCCGCCGUAACAC